AAAUGCGAUAAGUAGUGUGAAUUGCAGAAUUCAGUGAAUCAUCGAAUCUUUGAACGCACAUUGCGCCCUUUGGUAUUCCUUAGGGCAUGCCUGUUCGAGCGUCAUCUAAACCCUCAAGCCCUGCUUGGUGUUGGGUGCCUGUCCCGCCCCCGCGUGCGGACUCACCUCAAAUCCAUUGGCGGCCCUCGUGCCGGCCCCGAGCGCAGCAGGAACGCGGUCUCGUGGCCCGGCGGAGCGUGCCCCCAGAAGCAACAUUCACCGUUUUGACCUCGGAUCAGGUAGGGAUACCCGCUGAACUUAAGC
rnacentral:misc_RNA from 1 species